AAAACUUAUUAGAUCUCCCCGUAAACUGAGACAAAAAUAGCUGAAACUACGCUUUAUUCUUUGGAUUGAAGACUGCAUCACACUGAAGGUUUUAUGCAGGGCUGACACUCAGGGUAUAACAUCUGAUACAUGCUACAAUAGCACUAAACCCUUACUCAAAUACAUUUUCUGGAUGAACAGAAGGUGCUUGACCAAAUAGCACCAAGAAAUGGAUACCUCUCAAAGUGAUUCCAAGGGCACCCAAUCCCCCAACCCAGCCAGAGGCUUAAGAGAAACUGAAGAAAUCGUAGACAGGAGCAACCUUCAGUAUAGAGAGAGGAUAUAGCAACAGAGUGAGAGAAAGAGCCUUUUGCCUCUAAGCUGCAGGGGUGCCUACUUGAUCGUCUACUGCUGUCACAGCACACUCACCCACGAGGACACUAGCACACACAGAGACACUACCAACAGACAGCUCUCAGCCAAAACACAUGUGAGAGCUGAGGUUCCCUGCCAUCUGGGGCUACAGAGGGAGAUGCCAAGAAGAAAAACAUCACAGUUCUGCUGAGAGAGGAAACCAGGCAAUUUUCAAGCGUUAUACUGGCAGAACCCAUGAAAAUAGGGGCCCGCGCUAGCUCUCAAAAGCUUUUGACCUGCUGAGUCCAGCUGUACAGGUAACAUCCAGACAGUCAACUACAGAGGCCAUCACAGUUGCUGAAUCUGACUUCAAGUUUCAACCCUUCACUUCAGAAAAAAGGAAUUCAAAGCAACAGACCCACAACGAUAUUUCACAGAGACUGAUCCGAAAUCUCAUCUUUAAGUUUUUUUUCCCUUUAUUUGCAUUUUAAUCUUUGCACUUGUAUUUUUAGUUAAUACCUUUAUCACU